AACUCUCACUGUGGUAACUUCUAAUUCCGUAACUAUCUGUUGAUGACUUUCUAAGGACAGGGCUUGGCGCCGUGGGAGACCCACGCGCGGGUCAUCAAGAGAGUAGAAAGCCAUCUCAGUGCACACUCAGGACUGACAGUGACAAGGAGUCUCUCCUGGGCACCCUGCAGUUACCAGUCUGCAGAAUCCUCAGCACGACUCUGCGUAAAUGCUAUCAAACUGUGACUAUCUCCAUUUUUUCAGAGAAGGAAACCAAGUCUAAAGGAGGGUGCUUUGCUCCCCAGGGGGUCCUAGCCAGCAAGUACCCACUGUCCUAAGUGCUGCCAAGUCAAGACGGUGUUUGAGCAGAGAGGCAAGCCAGACGCAGCCAAGUGGAGCAGGUGAGCAGGCCGCCAGCUUCCAAUGAGACAUAAGUGAAAAACAGCCUUCAGUUUCACUUCAGUGGCCUCCUUGAACUGAGAGGCAUCCGACUGUCAGGCAAGGUGAUGAAAACCCUCGGUAGACACUCCAGAUCUUAGUUCUGGUCAUUAAGUCUCAAGGGUAAU